rnacentral:lncRNA from 10 species
CAGGAGCUUGGGCCCUGAGCUUAGGCCUGUGGGCGGGCUGCUGGCGUCCGGCAGGGUAUUCUAGACCAAAGACUUGCAGGGUGAAGAGGUCUGCAGUAUGCCACAGGACCAUGUGGAGUAUUUUGAGCUGAAGACAUUUGAGAAUCAACAGCUGCAGGAAGAGGCUCUUCCUGAACUCCCCUUAUCUUCCUAAAUGCAAAGCCUCCCCAAAGAAUUCAACUAUUAUAAAUCCUUUCCCGGGAAUUUCACAAGAAGAGAAGAUUGACUCUUAUCAUUGAAGAGAAGUCAACACAAGGCAUCACCUGGAUAAGAAAUUGCCUGAACGGAUAUUGUUACAAAACUAUCCCCACAGUUCAUGGGGACAAUACAUACUUCCCGUGGACUCACCUAAGAAGCUAUUUAUUUUUCCUAAGUUGUUUGGUCAUGUAGAAGUUCCCCUCUGCAUCUGCCCACUCCCUGUUAAGAUGGCAUAUAAGCCCCAGAUUCUAACCUCCUCCUGGAGUCAGCUUUUGUGUGUGUGUGAACUCUCAUGUACACACAAAUUUGAACAAUAAUAUGUUCUCUUUUUUUUGGAGGCAGGGUCUCACUGUCCUCCAGGCUAAAGUGUAGUGGCAUGAUCAGGGCUCACUGCAGCCUCGAACUCCUGGGCUUAAGUGAUCCUCCUGCCUCAGCCUCCAGAGUCACUGGGAUCAGAGGCAUAAGCCACACCAUGCCUGGUUUUUUCUUUUGCUAAUCUGUCUUUUGUCAGUUUAAUGUACAGGCCCCUAAAUACUGAAUGUAAGAGCACAGAAGAAAAGUUUUCCUCCCCAGCAAUGGUCAUGCACUGACACUGCACAUGCUGCUCAGAGAUCCGUGUGCUUUGUAGGCUAAGGGAAGGAGGCUUUGUGUUCUCAGUACUAAACGCAAGGGGUGCAUUGACCCUGGGAACUGUUUUGGGGAUGGAUAUAAGAGGCUGUGGGAGAGUUUCAGGAAAGAUGAGUCUGAGAGCCUGGGGAAUGCCGUAGAGCUGUGACUUCCUAGAGGCCAGGAAGACAUGUAAUGAAAGGAGGGGUGGUCUAGAGAGACUUUCUCCUAUCUUCCAAGAUUCUGUUAUCUUGCCAUAUUGUUUUUAUGGGAUUAAAAAAAUAAAGUGGGAGAAUCCAGGGAGCAACAUCUCUAGAAAAGUUGCCCCUGGAUCUAAGCUCUCUGGCCCUGGUCUUUCCCAGCAGGGAUGAUUCCUUCCUGACUUGGGGCUGAAGAUCUGGACUGGGAAUUAUAUGCUAAGUUUCUCAUGAAAAGAGCAAUAAAAUUUACCCUCUGUUUCUGCCUCUUUCUCACUGUGCCAAAUGUAAAGAAAAAAGAAAAGAAUAAGAAAAGCAAAAAGGAUUCACUAGAGAUUGCAGGGCUAGAAAGGGAAUAAGAAAUGAAAACAACAAAAUGUUAUUUUAAAUUUGCUUUAACAGCAGCUCAGAGAUGCAGGUCAACCA